UUUUUUUUUUAUUUCUUCUUCUCCUCUCCUUCCCCCCCGCGCAGCGCCACCAGCCGCACUACCAAUGGCAGCCGUGCCAGCGCCGCCGGACAGCUCGCCUGUCGCCGCCAGCCGCCAGCCGCGCCGCCGGCCAGAGCAGCACCAGCCGGCCAGCACGCAGCCGGCCAGCACGCAGCAGGCCAACGCGCAGCCUGCUGGAGCUUCUCUGCGAUCAGCUCCUCCGCCAUCAGCUCCUCCGCGCCAUCAGCUCGCGUCGCCGACGCCGCCAGCAUCGCGCCUCCAUCGCCAAGCAGUUGAUAGCAAAGGAAAAACAAAGUGAAAUGAACGAGAGAAAGAAAAGAAAGAAAGGCUAUACCUGCGUGAAGAAAGUCCUCCCCCCAGCUCUUGCUCCUCUUUCCCUUCCUUUUUCUUUUCUCUGCUCCAAACUCUUCCAGUCCCCCCCUUCCCGUGUCUUCCU
rnacentral:lncRNA from 1 species